rnacentral:rRNA from 1 species
GACGAACGCUUUCUUCUUUCUUAACACAUUCAAGUCGAACGGAAAGGCCUGCUUUCCCUUGUGGAUUGCGGGUACUCGAGUGGCGAACGGGUGAGUAACACGUGAGUGAUCUGCCCCCAACUUGGGUAUAAGCCUGGGAAACUGGGUCUAAUUCCCGAUAGGACUGCAGGGUGGUGCCUGUGGUGGAAAACGAUUUUCUAGUGGUUGGGGAUGAGCUCGCGGCCUAUCAGCUUGUUGGUGGGGUAAUGGCCUACCAAGGCGGCGACGGGUAGCCGGCCUGAGAGGGUGGACGGCCACAUUGGGACUGAGAUACGGCCCAGACUCCUACGGAAGGCAGCAGUGGGGAAUAUUGCACAAUGGGCGGAAGCCUGAUGCAGCGACGCCGCGUGGGGGAUGACGGCCUUCGGGUUGUAAAAUCCUUUCGACCGCGAGGAAGCCACCUGGUUGGAAGGGUGGUGACGGUAGUGGUAGAAGAAGCACAGGCUAACUACGGG